rnacentral:misc_RNA from 1 species
AAAAAAUAAUGGCUUUGCAUACCUAUACAGUGCAUCAACUAAAGGUUUGCCAAUCCAAAGUAGCUACCAAAAGGCAGUACAUUGUAAUUACAAUAAUCUUUCGCAAUGUAAGACUCGCACUUAUUUCUCAAACUGUGAGUCUGUGACUGCAGAAUUUCAUGAUCAAGAUGAACAUUAGACAGUCAUUUCUUUAAUCUUUUCUAAAUUAUAAUCGAUUACCGCGUUUUCCAUAAUUUUGCUUCAAGUUUUCUGAAACUUUCUGAGAUACAUGGUAUAACCAAAUCCCCCAAUGUAAAAAAGCAACACAUUAGUCAACAACACGAUUGCUCCCCAUAGUUUUUAGUUUAUUAUAUAUCAUUGACCUGUAAAAUACUCGAUUAGCAAGCUUUUCAUUUCUGAGAAAUAUAAAUAUAACCCAAUCUGGUAAUUUAAAAUAGCAAAACAUUAGUUAACAACACGAACAAUAUCUAAUCUAUCUAAUCUGGCAUUUUUGAGCUAAGUCAGCUAGAGCAAGUUGCGAGUUAGUGAGAUUGAAAACAUAGCUAUAAAAUGAAGUAAGGUAAAGCACACGCUCAAACUUUGUUGGGUCAUUGACUUCCAAUUCAAAUUGUUAGGGUAAAGUGUCAUAUGCCUGCCUGGAGUGGUGAAGCAGUACAGAUUUUUUCAUUUGAUAUGUUAUGCGCUAGAGUUUGCAGGAAUUGGAUCCAUUAGACUCAUCUUUACAAGGCCAGAACACAGCAAGAAAACCAAUCACUGAUUAAAAAAAGAAAAAAAAAUCUUGGCUUACCUUUACUAUUAUCUUCUUGAGAGGAUGGCAUUCAUUUUGGAUGAACAAGGCAUAAACUUCAACCAUAAACAUCUUUUGCCACAAACAUGACCCUUUGGACUUAAGGGAAGAUGUGAGUAUGGGGCAAUAAAAGGGCAAAGAUUUGUUGAGGAAGCAAAUUCUUUCCCUCUAUUGUAUGCGCACCGUUGCACCAUUGCAUACUUACAUUUGAGGUGGAGUAGCAGCAAGCAUCAAAACCCAGUUUCCGCUCACAAAGCUUGUUUAUAUAUAUAACAAGUAUUAAUCUGCCUCAACCCCCACCUGCAGCUACUGUGAGUUGUGUUAUCAUCAUUAUUUGGCCUGUAAUGAUAAUUGAACCACAGGUAUCAACAUGUUUCCAAUACCAGCACUAUUUGCACCACUGUCUGGGUUUUGUACCACCUUCAUGUGACUAAAAGGCUAAAAGCUAAAAGCUAAAAGCACCUUAUCCAAAACUCCGAUUCCAGAUCGGAAGAGAAAAAGCUAAUACACCCAGUUGAGGAAAUAUAGAUGAUGCAACAAAAGAGCAGGCAUGUUCAUCAAUAAAAUUCUAAUCCAUGUCUUAAGACCCAAAACAGGGAAAAAGUCGUGGGGAUGAGAGACUCUCCGUACCAUAAAAUAUCAGACUCACCUCACCGAGAAUGACACAGAAAGUCUUUUUACGAAAACAUGAAAGAGACGUCCCAUCCCUAGCUAUCCCUAGUCCUGACAAGUAAAUUUACAGAUAAUUAACAAUAAGUAGCAGCAAAAUCACCUAGCAGUUUUUCAGCUAGUUUUCUAGACACUGAUAGUGAUGCACACCCUUCAAUACUGGCUAUCUAGAAUCUAAGCAAAACCCAAGCUUUGAAAUAAGAAGAAAACCCCUUACAUUACCCAUUUCAAAUCCCUCCAUUUUUCCUUGUAAAUUGUAGCUGGAGAAAAGGGAUUGGUUUACUGGUAGGACCAUAGGCCUUCUGCAUCGGAAUCCCCUGGCGAAUCAUCCGACGACGGCGUGUUUAUCCUUGGUGGGCUCACCAUCAUUGCUCCUGCCAUGUCCACUAGCAAAUUUGGCAAGUUUAGAAACAGUUCCUCGUCAACAAACUCUUGACCUGACUCAACGCGGCUUGUACUGGUUAUGGAAGAAGUACUCUCGGCGGUAGGCAGACCCGCAUCCGGAAUCGACCCGGUUUCUAUCUUGGACUGCCUGACUGCCGCAGCACUAGCAGCCGCGGCCCGUAUGUCGCUGGCUGACAUGGAUGUUGGUAUUGGGUAAGAAAGAAUAGAUUCCGGGAAGUUCAAGGGCGUGUCGGGGCCUUUGAGGGCGAGAGCUGCGACGUCGUAGGCGGCGGCUGCCAUUUCGGGAGUAGGGUACGUACCCAGCCAUAUACGUGUAGUUUUACGUGGCUCCCGGAUCUCCGACACCCAUUUCCCGCUCCGGCUCCGAAUUCCCCUAUAAAUCGGAUGCCUACCGCUACCGAGAUAACUAGAAGACCCACCGGGAGAUCGAACGGGUCUAGGCGACGGAUUCGAUGACGUGGAGCGCGGCGAUUGGUCCUCUGGCAGCACAAGAGGUUCAGCUGGGACUUGCACGCAGGGGUUGGGCGGUGGUUGAUCGUCUCGGGACGGCGCAUUCGCAUGAGGAUCAGCCAUAUAAAAAAUAUAAACUAAGGAGUACUAUGUAAUAAGUGAAUGGAUCAUACGUUUUUGUGUUAUUUUAUUUUAUUUUUUUGAUCAAAUAUAUGUAAAUAGAAUGUGUGAG